UACGAAGGGGGCUAGCGUUGUUCGGAAUCACUGGGCGUAAAGGGCGCGUAGGCGGCUUUGUAAGUCGGGGGUGAAAGCCUGUGGCUCAACCACAGAAUUGCCUUCGAUACUGCAUGGCUUGAGACCGGAAGAGGUAAGUGGAACUGCGAGUGUAGAGGUGAAAUUCGUAGAUAUUCGCAAGAACACCAGUGGCGAAGGCGGCUCUCUGGAACGCAACUGACGCUGAGACGCGAAAAGCGUGGGGAGCAAACAGG
rnacentral:rRNA from 1 species